UAUUCACGGAUAGGCAUUUCCGAGGCUUGACGGAGCCCAUCUGCAAUAAGACCAUCUGACACACCCGGGAAAAACUAUCGAUAGAUGAUAGAAGUAAUGCAAGGAAUUCUGGUCGUCUAAUUCAUCACAAAUUAUAGUCGAUGAAACCGGGCAAAGUUUGGUUUUGCGAUGCAAUCUAAUAAAUUACUUGCAACUGGAAAGCAAACCAGCCCACCUGGAGAACAUGAAAUGGAAUUUUGUGAUUUUAUGGCUGUGAAAACAUUUGCUGUCAAAUUAGAAUACAAAAUAAAAAUUAACCAUAUUUCAUCUUGGGUGAAGUUUUCAAUUAACAAUAAUCCUCCCCAAACCAAAGAAGUUAUACAUGUAUAAUAUUGUGGACAGUGUUACCAGAGGAAGAGGAAAUAGGGAGUAUUGCCACUUCAGCAACUGAGCUAAACUGAGUGAGGCAUGGACUCAGCAUAAACAGUUGUUAUGCAUUUAUGGAGGGGAACUAAGAAAGAAACUGGACUCUUUAAACAAGUCUGAUUACUAUGAAUCACUAAAGCAGAUGACUGGCAGUCUUUUUGCACUGCUAUAGAGUGUUAUGUAUUCUUGUAUACUGUAUUGUUUGGUACAUUUUAUAUUGUACAACUUAACAUGUUCUUUUUGAUAUGUGAUAAAAAUAAGAACUUUGAUAUAUUGUUUACAUAUGGCAAAUAAAACUUACAUGAACAGGUA